rfam:Proteus mirabilis strain HI4320, complete genome
UUUGCAACGACAUUGCUCACAUUGCUUCCAGUAUUUACUGUGACCAACACUUAAUGUGUUGGUCUUUUUUU